GAUGAACGCUGGGGCGUGCCUAAUCCAUGCCAGUCGAGCGAACGGACGAGAAGCUUGCUUCUCUGAUGUUAGCGGCGGACGGGUGAGUAACACGUGGAUAACCUACCUAUAAGACUGGGAUAACUUCGGGAAACCGGAGCUAAUACCGGAUAAUAUUUUGAACCGCAUGGUUCAAAAGUGAAAGACGGUCUUGCUGUCACUUAUAGAUGGAUCCGCGCUGCAUUAGCUAGUUGGUAAGGUAACGGCUUACCAAGGCAACGAUGCAUAGCCGACCUGAGAGGGUGAUCGGCCACACUGGAACUGAGACACGGUCCAGACUCCUACGGGAGGCAGCAGUAGGGAAUCUUCCGCAAUGGGCGAAAGCCUGACGGAGCAACGCCGCGUGAGUGAUGAAGGUCUUCGGAUCGUAAAACUCUGUUAUUAGGGAAGAACAUAUGUGUAAGUAACUGUGCACAUCUUGACGGUACCUAAUCAGAAAGCCACGGCUAACUACGUG
rnacentral:rRNA from 1 species